CAUGGCAGCCGUGUGGCGUGUUCUAUGUCUUUGCACACCAGAAACGUGUCUGACGCCGCUGUUUGUACACAUGUAUGUUUCCCAUUGAUUUGCUGCAUUCAAGCAGUAGUAUACUUCAUGUUUAACGUAAAUACUCACAUAAAUAUUUACUGA